AGAUUGAACGCUGGCGGCAUGCCUUACACAUGCAAGUCGAACGGCAGCACGGGAGCAAUCCUGGUGGCGAGUGGCGAACGGGUGAGUAAUACAUCGGAACGUGCCCAAUCGUGGGGGAUAACGCAGCGAAAGCUGUGCUAAUACCGCAUAAGAUCUACGGAUGAAAGCAGGGGAUCGCAAGACCUUGCGCGAAUGGAGCGGCCGAUGGCAGAUUAGGUAGUUGGUGAGGUAAAGGCUCACCAAGCCUUCGAUCUGUAGCUGGUCUGAGAGGACGACCAGCCACACUGGGACUGAGACACGGCCCAGACCUCCUACGGGAGGCAGCAGUGGGGAAUUUGG
rnacentral:rRNA from 1 species